AUUGAACGCUGGCGGCAGGCCUAACACAUGCAAGUCGAACGAGUGGCGGACGGGUGAGUAAUGUCUGGGAAACUGCUCGAUGGAGGGGGAUAACUAGUGGAAACGGUAGCUAAUACCGCAUACCAUCGGAUGAGCCCAGGUGGGAUUAGGUAGUAGGUGGGGUAAAGGCUCACCCAGGCGACGAUCACUAGCUGGUCUGAGAGGUUGACCGGCCACACUGGAACUGAGACACGGUCCAGACUCCUACGGGAGGCAGCAGGGGGGAAUAUUGCGCAAUGGGCGCAAGCCUGAUGCAGCCAUGCCGCGUGUAUGAAGAAGGCCUUCGGGUUGUAAAGUACUUUCAGUGGGGAGGCGUUACUUGCAGAAGAAGCACCGGCUAACUCCGUGCCAGCAGCCGCGGUAAUUC
rnacentral:rRNA from 1 species